UUGUAUGGUGACGUAAUGUGUCUUGUAUGGUGACGUAAUGUGUCUUGUAUGGUGAGGUAAUGUGUCUUGUAUGGUGAGGUAAUGUGUCUUGUAUGGUGACGUAAUGUGUCUUGUAUGGUGAGGUAAUGUGUCUUGUAUGGUGAGGUAAUGUGUCUUGUAUGGUGAGGUAAUGUGUCUUGUAUGGUGAGGUAAUGUGUCUUGUAUGGUGAGGUAAUGUGUCUUGUAUGGUGAGGUAAUGUGUCUUGUAUGGUGACGUAAUGUGUCUUGUAUGGUGAGGUAAUGUGUCUUGUAUGGUGAGGUAAUGUGUCUUGUAUGGUGAGGUAAUGUGUCUUGUAUGGUGAGGUAAUGUGUCUUGUAUGGUGACGUAAUGUGUCUUGUAUGGUGAGGUAAUGUGUCUUGUAUGGUGAGGUAAUGUGUCUUGUAUGGUGAUGUAAUGUGUCUUGUAUGGUGACGUAAUGUGUCUUGUAUGGUGACGUAAUGUGUCUUGUAUGGUGAGGUAAUGUGUCUUGUAUGGUGAGGUAAUGUGUCUUGUAUGGUGAGGUAAUGUGUCUUGUAUGGUGAGGUAAUGUGUCUUGUAUGGUGACGUAAUGUGUCUUGUAUGGUGAGGUAAUGUGUCUUGUAUGGUGAGGUAAUGUGUCUUGUAUGGUGAGGUAAUGUGUCUUGUAUGGUGAGGUAAUGUGUCUUGUAUGGUGAGGUAAUGUGUCUUGUAUGGUGAGGUAAUGUGUCUUGUAUGGUGAGGUAAUGUGUCUUGUAUGGUGAGGUAAUGUGUCUUGUAUGGUGAGGUAAUGUGUCUUGUAUGGUGAGGUAAUGUGUCUUGUAUGGUGAGGUAAUGUGUCUUGUAUGGUGAGGUAAUGUGUCUUGUAUGGUGAGGUAAUGUGUCUUGUAUGGUGAGGUAAUGUGUCUUGUAUGGUGACGUAAUGUGUCUUGUAUGGUGAGGUAAUGUGUCUUGUAUGGUGAGGUAAUGUGUCUUGUAUGGUGAGGUAAUGUGUCUUGUAUGGUGACGUAAUGUGUCUUGUAUGGUGAGGUAAUGUGUCUUGUAUGGUGACGUAAUGUGUCUUGUAUGGUGACAUACUGUACCUUGUAUGGUGAC